GUGGAAUUGCCUCCACAAUGAGCUCCCCAGCCUAAACGACUUGCGUCGGAUUCUAUAGUUAGGUCUGGGAAUGACGUGAAAAUGGCUUUCCCGUUCCAAAUUUGAACGUGAUCUAACCACCAGGAAAGUUCUAUUCUUGUCUCUGAAGUUAGAGAAAUCUCGUCUGAAUAAAGGAGACCAUUGUUUAGAUGUUCUCUUUUCAAUCUUUGAAGAGCCCGAUAGUGAAGGGGGGCUGGAAAGAUAGCCUGGAUCGAGGCUGAUAAAAGUCCUACAAUCCUUGCUAACGACCUGAUGGAAAUUAAUUCCUUCUUUAGAACUGACCUGAUCUCUUUUCGAAUUGUUUUCAACUUCCGUGAUGGAAGUCUGAGAGUGGCU